CGAUCUGGCUCAGGAUGAACGCUAGCUACAGGCUUAACACAUGCAAGUCGCGGGGCAGCACUGUGGUUGCUUGCAACCACUGGUGGCGACCGGCGCACGGGUGAGUAACGCGUAUCCAACCUGCCCUGCAGUGGGGAACAGCCCGGCGAAAGUCGGAUUAAUGCCCCAUGGCGUCCUCGGCGGGCAUCUAAUGAGGACUAAAGGCUUCGGCCGCUGCGGGAUGGGGAUGCGUAGGAUUAGGCAGGCGGCGGGCGACGGCCCACCGCGCCGACGAUCCUUAGGGGUUCUGAGAGGAAGGUCCCCCACACUGGUACUGAGACACGGACCAGACUCCUACGGGAGGCAGCAGUGAGGAAUAUUGGUCAAUGGGCGCGAGCCUGAACCAGCCAAGUAGCGUGCCAGGAUGACGGCCCUACGGGUUGUAAACUGCUUUUAUGCGGGGAUAAAGUGGGCUACGCGUAGCCCUUUGCAGGUACCGCAUGAAUAAGGACCGGCUAAUUCCGUGCCAGCAGCGGC
rnacentral:rRNA from 1 species